rnacentral:lncRNA from 1 species
AAAAUAGUUAGAUAAGUAAAUAUACAAUUAAAAAAGUAAAUACACAAGAUAAGAGACAGAACAACUACAUUAAACAUCUAUUUGAAAAAUUUAGAUUUUUACAUUUUUAUGACUUCCAAAUAUUUUUAUAAGUAAAUAUACAAUAUAAUAAACAUAAGCAUACAAUAUAAGAAAUAUAAAUUUUACAUGAAGCAUCUAUUAUAAUAAUAUCAUUUGAUAUAAAAGCAAGAAAAUUAGAAUAAGUAAAUAUACAAUAUAAGAAAAAUAAAAAAAAGGUAAAAUACAAUUAAUAAAUGAAAAAUCUAAAUUAAAA